CAAAACUCCUGCUAAUGGUAACCUUUAGGGAGAGAAGAGAGGAUUUAGGGUAAAGGGGGAGAAGUAAAUGUCAAAGGGAACUUAAGCAUUAUAGGUCAUUUCUCUCCCUCUCUCUCUGUUUUUGUUUGUUUGUUUGUUUUUGUUUUUGUUUUUGUUUUGAGACAGAGUCUCACUCUGUCGCCCGGGCUGGAGUGCAGUGGUGCGCUCUCAGCUCACUGCAACCUCCGCUUCCCGGGUUCAAGUGAUUCUCCUGCCUCAGCCUCCCGAGUAGCUGGGAUUACAGGCGCCUGCCACUACGCCCAGCUAAUUUUUUGUAUUUUUAGUGGAGACAGGGUUUCACCAUUUUAGCCAGGCUGGUCUCGAACUCCUGACCUCGUGAUUUGCCCACCUUGGCCUCCCAAAGUGCUGGGAUGACAGACGUGAGCUACCGCGCCCGGCCUCUCUCUCUCUUUUAGCAAGGUAGCAUCACUCAUAUAUUUAAAAUUUAAUUUUAAAAUAUAAAAGUCAAUAGAGACGUUGGUUUUGGAGCAAGGAAGUGAGCCAAGGAACCUAAACUGUGGAAGCAGACAAAAUCCAGAAAAACUUACACCUUAGGAAGACUGCAGAGAGAAGGGAAUAGUAAGGCAACAAGUUUUCAUAGGCCUGAGGUGUCUUGUUUGUUUAUGAAAUGCCAGUUUCAUAUUUAUGUCCUUAUAACCCAUUUUGACCUUGCUGACCUUUAAGGAUUAGUUAUCUCUUCAGCCCAGUUACUGGAUUCAGCUCCGUUAUAGUGUCUGACCCUGGACAGCAUUGGCAGAGUCUCGCUCUGUCGCCAAGACUGCAGUACAGUGGCAUGAUCUCGGCUCGGCUCACUGCAACCUCCACCUCCCGGGUCAGGCAGUUCUCCUGUCUCAGCCUCCCAAGUAGCUGGGAUUAGAGGCACCUGUCACCAUGCCCGGCUAAUUUUUUUAUAUUUUUAGUAGAGACAGGGUUUCACCAUGUUGGCCAGGCUGGCCUCAAACUCCUGAUCUCAAGUGAUCCACCCGCCUAGGCCUCCCAAAGUGUUGGGAUUACAGGUGUGAACCACCACGCCCAACCUGGCACAGAUAUUUCGUACUUAUAUUGUGCAUUCCCUGUCCCAGACUUGGAAUUAGCCACUUUGUGAGGAGAAUUUUUGAGAUGAUCUUUUCAAUGUAUAUUCUCAACAAAGAAAUAGUUAAGUAAUUUAUAGUACACAGGGAGCAGAAUGUUAUGCAUCCAAUAAACUUAGGAUUAUAAAUUUUAAAUUAACAAAAUGAAUCUUAAAAUUUUACGCAGUAUUAUGUCAGUGACAUUUUUCUUUUUUAAAGAGAUGGGGUCUCGCUCUGUCACCCAGGCUGGAGUGCAGUGGUGUAAUCAUGGCUCAUGGUAACCUUGAACUCCUAGGGUCAAGUCAACCUCCCUCAGCCUCCCAAAGUACUGGGAUUAUAAGCAUGAGCCACCCUGGCCAGCCCUAGGAAAAGAAAACUUUUAAAACCACCAGUGGUAUCACAAUCAAAAGAUAAACACAUAUCUUUUCAAAUGCCAUUAAAUAUUUGUACAGUCAUAUCAAAAACAUCACUUACUACAUACUAUUUUGUAAUCUGUUUUUUUCAUGUUUUAAAACAAAAUAUUGCAAUAAAAUGCAUAUACCUUUUAAAUGUUCAUAAUAUUUAAAAAGACAUCAUUAGUAUUUUGAAAUAAUGACAGAAAACAUUUUGAAUAUUACAAAAUUAAAAUUUGUUAAUAUGAUGUAUUUUAAUUGGAACAUAUUAAAGAUUACAUAGUGUCUAUUGAUCAUCAUAAUCCUUUUUAACCAUUCUACUGUUGUUGGAUUGAGAAUCCUGAAAUAUAUAUGAAUAGUUCCUCAUUCACAAUGGCCAUCUAUGUCAUGAAUCUUGACCCUGGCUUUGUGUGAUUAACAAUUUUUCAUUGCAGUGGCCAGUGACCUUCAAGACUUUUCCUAAAAGGAGUAGAGAUAACUGAAUUCAGAGAGAUUAUUUACAGAUUUUAUAUUGGAAACUAGAAGAAUCUAUCUGGCUAGGGAAGGACAUCUUCUCCCCCAAAUUAAAAUUUACAAUCUGGAGUAUCUUCUUCCUUUGUGAAUCCUGUGGAUUCUGUGUGCUUGCCUGAAUUUUUGUCCCUUGUUCUCAGAAAAUAAUUAGAGCUUUGCAGAAUCGUGUGGAGGCAACUCUGAUUGUAGCUUUCUUUAGCCCUUCCUAGGAUGGCCUUGCUUCCCUGACAACCAUGGAAAUGGGUCUUAAUUCCACAGCCAGAGUCUGACCAAUUUCUUAUCUUUUACGAUAUGCAAGAUGGUUUCUAAGUUUUUAAGCCCAUUAUAAUUUCCUUAUCAGAUAAUGGGAAAGAAAGAUAUGGUUAAAAAAGAAAUGAAAGAGUCUUGGUGAGGGAGGAAGAAUCAGGUAGAAUGAAACCGUUGGUUUUUCAAGCCCAGUUUUUCAGUCAACAGAAAUCAUAUUUUACAAUGUUAUUCGAGUAUUUGCCUUAGAGGCUCCAGUCCAUUGGAGGAAAUUGAGUCUACUUUAUUAUGACCUACCAAAAGAAUUUAACCUUCACCCUGUCUUUUAAUUAAAUUCGUAUGUUUCAAAGAUAGUUUCUAUUAAAUAUAGAGUAGAUACAAAAUAAUAUUUAUGAAGUAUAUGUAUUUUUUUAAUUCUCAAUACAGCAAAAACCUGUGUACCAACUACCUUUUUUAAGAAAGAAAAUAUUUAUUUUUUUGAGAUGGAGUCUCACUCUGUUGCCCAGGCUGGAGUGCAGUGGCAGGAUCUCAGCUCACUGCAACCUCCGCCUCUUGGGUUCAAGCGAUUCUCCUGCCUCAGCCUCCCGAGUAGCUGGGACUACAGGUGCGCACCACCAUGCCCAGCUAAUUUUUGUAUUUUCAGUAGAGAUGGGGUUUCACCUUGUUGGCCAGGCUGGUAUCGAACUCCUGACCUCAGGUGAUCCACCUGCCUCGGCCUCCCAAAGUGUUGAGAUUACAGGCGUGAGCCACCACGCCCAGCCAAAAGAAAAUAUUAACUACUAACUUUGAAGACUCCUAGACAUCUAUUCCCAUUUCUAUCCCCUUUUCCUUCAGACAUAACAAUUAUCCUGAGAUUUAUGUUUAUAAUUCUCUUGCUUUUCUUUAUAGUUUCAGCUACUUACUCCAAAACUAUGUUGUUUAUGGAUGUUUUUGAGUUUUAUAUAACUAUUUCAUAUAUCAUUCUGUGACUCGCUUUUUUGUCAACAUUAUGUUCCUGAGAUUAAGUAGUGUAGCUAUAAUCCAUUCAUUUUUAUGGUACAGUAUUCCAUUGCUUGACUAUAUUACAGUUUUUAAAAUCCAUUCUCAGUUGAUAGAAAUGUGAGUUGCUUCAAAGUUUGAAUUUAUAGUUCUAUUACGAACAUUCUUGUACAUGUUUACUGAUGGACAUGCAGAGGCUGUUCUAGGGCAAGGGUCAUCAAACUUUCUUGUGCAAAGGGACAUAUAGGAAAUAUUUUAGGCUUUGCGGGCCAUACAGUUUCUGUCACAACUACUCAACUCUGCCAUUGUAUCAUGAAAUCACAGCCAUAGACAAUAUGUAAAAGAACGAGUGUGUUCUAGUGAAACUUUAUGCCAAGGCAGGAUCUAGCCUGUGGGCCAUAGUUUGCUAAGCCCUGUUCUAGGAUAUAUAUGAAGAAUAUAUUACUGAACACAGAGUACAUAUACCAUGCAAAUAUUCUCAACUUUACUAGGCAAUAUGCAAUAUUUUCCAAAGGGGAUUUUCCAAUGUAUACUCUUUACUAACAUUUGAAAUGCUCAGAAUUUUAAGUUCAGGUGAUUCUGGUAGAUGUAUAUGCAGUAGAAUCUCAUUUUGGUUUUAAUUUGCAUUUCUCUGCUUACUAAUAAGGUUAAGAUUUUAAAGACUUGUUUAUUGGCCCUUCCUCUUCUGUGAAAUGCCUACUGAAACCCUUUGCUCAAUUUCUUUGGGUUGUCUUUUUAUUAUUAUAGGACUUUGUAAAAAUAUUUUGGAUGUUUAUUCUGUAUCAACUAUAUGUGUUGAAAAUAUCCCAGUUUAUAGCUUGUCUUUGUUUACAAUAGGGAUCUUUUAACAAAUAGAAAUUCUCUGUUUUAAUGUCAGAUUUAUGAAUUUUUUUCUCUAUGGCUUGUACUUUCUUGCAUUUUAAGAAAUCCUUCUCUAUAUCAAAGUCAUAAAUUUAGCUUCAUAUAUUAUCUUCUUAAAGGUUUAUAGUUUUGCCUUUCACAAUUUUUUUUAUAAAAUCUCUUAGAAUUCAUCUCUGUAGUAAGUUAAAGGAGAGAUACAAUUUCUGUGUUAUGUAUGUGUGCAUAUACCAGUUGUCCCAGAAUAUGCAAAGACCAACUUUUUCACUUAUCAGUAGUCAUAAAUUGGAUUAUUAUAUGUGUAUGGGACAUACAACACAUAUGUAUGUGUCACAUAUGUUGGGAAUUCAUUAUUCAAUUAUAUUGGUCAAUUUGUUCCCUGUGCUAUUUCCAUGCUGUAGCAGUUUUAUAAUAAUUUUUGGGAUAUAACACAAAAAUCUAUUUGAGACUUUAUUAAUCCUCUCCAUAAUAUAACUAUUUUUCUAUUUCUUGUAUUGUUUUGGUCUUUAUUAUUUCCUUGCUUUCACUUUCCUUGGAUUUAUUCUGCCAUUGUUUUCUCACAUUUUUAAGCUGGAUGCUAGAUAUUAUCAAUUUUUACACUUCUAAUAUAAACUGGUAAGGUUAUAACUUUUCCUCGAGGUCCAACUUUAGCUGCAUCCUACAGAAUUUUAUAUACAGUCAGUCUCCAACUUACAAUGGUUCUAUGAUUUUUUUAACUUUAUGAUGGUGUAAAAGCCAUAUGGAUUCAGUAGAAACGUAUUUCAAAUAUCCAUACGACAAUACUGUUUUUCACUUUUAGUUCAGUAUUCAAUAAAUUAAGACAUUCAGCACUUAAUUAUAAAAUAGGGUUUGUGUUAGAUGAUUUCAUCUAACUGGUAGGUAAUAUAAGUGUUCUGAUCAUGUUUAAAGUAGGUUAUGCUAAGCUGUCAUGCUUGGUAGGUUAGGUAAAAGCAUUUUUGACUUAAUGAUAUUUUCAACUUGUGAUGGGUUUAUUAGGGCAUAACCCCAUUGAGUCCAGGAGCAUCAGUAUAUUAAGUAGUAAUCUCAUCAUUCAGUUUUAAAUACUUUUAAAUUUCUACUAUGAUUUCUUUUAACCAUAAAUAAUUUAGAAUUAUAUUUCUUAACUAUAUAGGUCUUUCUAAUUUUCCUUUGAUGACAUAUAUCAAACAUAGCUACUUUUGUGGGCAGUGAAAGUACGGUAUAUAAAACUAGUCCUUUGAAAGUUUUCGAGAUUUGCCCGAUAGGCUAAUACGUGUCUAAGUUUUCUAAAUAUUCAGUGUGUCUUUGAUGAGAAUUUGUCUUUUGCAGCUAUUGUGUAUAAUAGUAACUGUUUUAAAAAUACAUAGCCAUUAAAUAAAGUUGUAAUUUUUGUUGAAAUCUAUAAUCUUACUGAUUGUAUCUCUUUUAUCUAUCAUUUACUAAAAGAACUAUGUAUAAUAUCUCGCCAUAUCUGUAAGGUUAUUUUUCCUUGUAGUUUCAUUAAUUUUUGGUUUAUAGUGUGUAUUUUUAGUAACUUAAGCUUGCAAUUUUUAUAUCUUCAUGGAAAAUUGAACAUUUCAUCAUGAUGCAGUUAGUGAUCACUUUAUAAUAAUGCUCUAGUCUGUUUUAUCUGACACUAAUAUCACAACACUAGCUUUCAUUUGAUUAGUAUUUUCCAAAUGUUUUUUCUGUUCUUCAUUUUCAGUCUUUCUAUAUGCUUCCCUUAAUAUACUUCUUGAAAACAGAUUUUAGUUACAUUUUACUUAUUUAUCCAAUCAGAGAUGUACUGGCAUAUUUUUAUUUAUUUAUUUAUUUAUUUAUUUUGAGACAGAGUUUCACUCUUGUUGCCCAGGCUGGAGUGCAAUGGCACAAUCUUGGCUCACCACAACCUCUGCCUCCUGGGUUCAAGCAAUUCUCCUGCCUCAGCCUCCCGAGUAGCUGGGAUUACAGGAGUCCACCAUCACGCCUAGCUAAUUUUUGUAUUUUUAGUAGAGACAGGGUUUCUCCAUGUUGGUCAGGCUGGUCUUGAACUGCUGACCUCAGGUGAUCCGCCCGCCUCAGCCUCCCAAAGUGCUGGGAUUACAGGCAUGAGCCACCGCGCCCGGCCAUUUGUAUUUAUUUCUAUGAUUUUAUUUUGUGAUGUGAUGUAUAUGUAACUUUAAUGUUUCAUUUCUUUCCUUUAUUCUUUCUUCAGUUUGGUUCCCCCUCCCCAACCUUUUCUGCUACUCUUUGGGGUAAUAUGCAUUCUAUUUAUAUUAUUUUAGUACUUUUGCAAAAUAUUUAACAGGACAUACUUAAGUUAUCAAUGUGUGAACAAAACAUUUUUCCUGCCCAGCAAAAUAAUGAUGUUAGAAUACUUUAGCACCAAGCAUUGUUUCUACCAACCUACAUGCUAUCUUUGUGGUAUAAUCUGGUUAUAUAUCUAUAUGUAUGUGUGUGUGUAAGUGUAUAUAUAUAUAUACACACACACACUAAUAUAUAUUUUAAAAAUACCACAGCAAUAGCUUUUAAGUUGGUAGAAGUGAUUAGUGUUGAAGUAUGCCAAUGUCAUUGGCAGGAAAUAAAAAUACUAUUUAGACUUUGAUAACUUAAGUAUAUCCUGCUAAAUUAUAUUGUAAACAUAAGCACCAAAAUAAUGUACACACACAUAUGGAGACAUUAUUAUGUUUUAUGAGCUGAGUGUUUGAUUACACACCAGUUUACUGCUUUCUUUGCUUACCUCUCCUUCUUGCAUCACUUUUCUUCUACCUGAAGUGCAUCUAUCACAGUUUUCUUCAGUGAGGAUCUAUUGUUGAAAACUUCUGUCUUUAUUUGUCUAAAAACUUCUAAUUCUUGAAAGAUAUUUUUGCUGAAUGUAGAAUUAUAAGUUGAUAGUUUUGUAUUUUCACCAUUUUAUGAAAAUUUCCAAACAUGUAGAAAUUAAAAGAAUUGUACAAAAAUACCCAUACAUUCGCUAUCUAAGUACUAUAAUGAAUAUCAUGCUGUAUUUGCUUUACCAAAUAAUUAGCCUUGUAUCCAGCCCUGUAUUCAUCCAUAAGGAUGAAUUGAUCCAUUUUUUGUUGUAUUUCAAAGUUAGUUGUAGACAUCGUAUACUUUACCCCUAAAUACUUUAGCAUGCAUACCACUAACUAAAGUUCAAUAUCUAGUUACAGCUUUUUAGGUAAAAUGUACAUACAGUAAAAUUGUGUAAUCUUAAAUUUACCAUUUGAAGAAUUUUGACAGAUUCAAAUACUUGUGCAAACCAAAAUCCUGUCAAAGUGAAGAAAAAUACCAUCACCCUAGAAAGUUCCUUCAUGCUCCUUCCUAGUCAUUUCCCACUCUAUAUCCAGAAACAACUGCCAUUCUGAUAUUUUCCCAUUGUAGAUUAAUUUUUGUCUCUUCUAGAACUUCGUAUAAUUGGGAUUGAAAUAUGUGUUUUUUGUAUGUAAGGCUUCUUUCACUCAGUAUAAUGUUUUAAAAAUGUAUCCAUGUUGUAUGUGUGGGUGUUUGUGGUAUACUCAAUAGUUCUUAUUGCUGAGUUGUAUUCCACUCUAUGAUUGUAUCACAGUUUAUUCAUAUUCUUGUUGAACUUUUGUGCUAUUUCCAAGUUUUUGGCUAUUAUGAAUAAUAGUGUCAUAAACAUUCUUGGACAUGUCUGUUUAUGAACAUCUGUUUUCAUUUCUCUGGGGUAACACCUAGGAAUGGAAUUGUUCAGACACAGUGUAUAGGUGUAUGUUCAGUUUUAUAAGAAACUGUCAAACCAUACCCAAAGGGAUUGCACCAUUUUACACUCCCAUUAACAAAGUAUGAGAGUUUCAGUCUCCCUACCUCUUUGCCAACAUUUGGUGCUGUCUUUCUGGCUAUAUAUCUCAUUACUGUCCCACAGUAUUUUUAAUUUACAUUUUUCUAAUGACUAAUGAUGUUGAUCACUUUUUAUGUACUUAUUGGCAAAACAUCUUUCUUUGUGAAGUAUCUGGUCAAAAUUUUUGCCCAUCUUUAAUUGGUUUGUUCAUCUUUUUAUUGUUGAGUUAUAGAAGUUCUUUUUUUUUUUGAGACAGACUCUUGCUCUGUCACCCAGGCUGGAGUGCAAUCUCGGCUCACUGCAACCUCUGCCUCCCGGGUUAAAGCAAUUAUCCUGUCUCAGCCUCCUGAGUAGCUGGGACUACAGGCGCAUGCCACUAUGCCCAGCUAAUUUUUGUAUUUUUAGUAGAGACGGGGUUUCACCAUAUUGGUCAGGCUGGUCUCGAACUCCUGACCUUAGGUGAUCCACCCGCCGCAGCCUCCCAAAGUGCUGGGAUUACAGGCGUGAGCCGCCGCGCCUGGCCGAGUUAUAAAUGUUCUUAGUCAUAUUUUUAACAGUGUCUUUUGAUGAGUAAGAAAAACAUUUUUGAUAACAUUUGUCAAUUCUUUUUCUUUUGCAGUUUUGCUUUCUGUGACUUAACAAAUUGUCUACUGCCAGGUUGGAAAUAUGUUUACAUAUUUAUUCUUUCUAGAAGCCUUAGAGUUGUAGCUUUUUAUAUUAGUUCUAGGAUUUAUGUUAAUUUUUGUUCAUGGUGGCAGGUAGGGGUUGAAGUUCAUUUAUUUCUUUUUCUGUAUGGAUAUCAAGUUGUUCUAGUGCCAUUUAUUGAAAAUGCAAAUGGUAUUUUCAACAGUGGAGGUCUUUGGCACCUUUAUUGAAAAUUAAGUGACCACUGUACGAGUAUUUUCUUGUAUCAAAUUACCACAAAUUUAGUGACUUAAAACAACACAAAUUUAUUAGCUUUUAGUUCUGUAGGUCAAGAAGUUCAGACCUCACUGAACUAAAUUUAAAGUGGCAGCAAUGCUGCAUUAUUUUCUAGAGGCUCUAGGGAGAAUCUGCUUCCUACUCAUUUAGGUUAAUAGGCAGAAUUCAGUUUCUUGCAUCUGUAAGUCCAAUGUCUCCAUUUGCUUGCUGGCUGUAAGCCAAGGGCCAUUCCCAGCUUCAAGAGGCUGCCACAUUCCUUGGCUCACGGCCCCCUUCCUCCAUCUCAAAAGCCAGCAAUAGAGGGUCAAGUCCUUCAAACAUUGCAUCUCUCUGAUCCAGCUGGGAAAGUGUUGGGAAAAAGCUGAGGGUUAGGAGAAGCUGAGGCAGGGCUUGCAUGUCUGACAUAAUGUAAAAGAGUCUUGGAACAUGUCCGGGGUCCAGGGUCUAAAACCCCUUGUGGCCUUUGGAACACCAAGCUCUAUGCUAAAGGGUGGAAGCCUACCAUCAUGCACCAUAAUCUAAGCCCAGGGCAUAAAAUCCCUUGUGGCUUGGAUAGAAUCCAGGGCUCAUGGCUCUGGAAUGUAUCUAGACUUGCUGGCUCCUUGCUCCUUGCUCUCCCAGGAUUGAUUGUAUCUUGAGUUAAAAGAAUCUGCUCUCCAUUAUCUCAAGUAGAGCAAAUGCUAAACCAUCACAGCUGUAAAUCAUGUACUUAAUGCAAUGUGCCCUUUUGACCUCCACAUUCUCACCACCUGUUUCUUUGUUGGAUUACCAAUAAAUAGCAUGGGCUCCCAGAGCUCGGGCCUUCGCAGCCUCUACGAUUGUGAUGGCCCCCUGGGUCCGGUCCCACUUUUCUCUCUCAAACUGUCUUUUUCUCAAUCCUUUGACUCCGCCGGACUUUGUCACCCCCACGACCUGGUGUUGGGUCUGAUCACCCCAACAGGAAAGAUUCUUCAUUUUCCCUUCUCUUCCUAAUACUGUAAUCCUAAAUCCAUUAGGGGCUGAGCAAGCUAGGCAUACAUGCCGGUGCAGUUACUUAGGCCUAAAGCACUGCACUGUAGCUUGAGCACAAUGAGGAGGUAUCUAUCCAGGGAGAGUAUGGCGGCAGUAAUGGGAUAGUGGCUUCUUCUAGGGGGGACUGAUCAAAUAUGUUUCAUAUACAUAAAUACACACAUAAAAUAUAUAUUUUACUACUAUUAUUAUUUCCUCUGAUAAAAAUCUGCGUUCUUUGAAGAAAUGAUUGAUUCCAGUGUUGGGCACAGCAAAUACAAGAUGAGCCUGGAACAUCUUUUAUAUGUGUAAGUAAGGGGCGCUCAAAGAAUGAUAGGAACCUGUUAAAGGCCGCAAAACCCACACAGGAGGGGCUCCCACUUGCCAAAUCUGGAGCAAACUGGUCAUUAAAAUAAGUAAUAAUAGAUUACAAACCUCUGAAUGAAAUAGGAAAUCACAAGUCUAUACUGACAUAAAUUAAUAAAUUGAAAGUUUGAUGAAGAAUGGUGUGUUUACAUAGUCUCAGAGUACCUCCCCAUAAAAUCUUUACUAAUUACAAAGGAAAAAAAGAGUAAUUUUACAGUAGAGAAGCCUGGCUGGUAUAUCUUAGUGAUUAAGAUGUAAUGCUCUUUCAUCAAGGAGUAUUACCAGUAAUAGGAUAGAAUGUCAUCAUGUGCCCCUGAUAGGAGCAUGCAUCACUUUUGUGGCAUUCUUUCUACAACUCGGAACCUUAUCAUGAGGAAACAUCAGAGAAAACCAAAUUGGAAGGAAAUUCUUCAGACUGGCUUAUAAUAAUAAAAAGUGUCAAGGUUAUAAAAGGGCAAGACUGAGAAACUGUAUCAGACUAAAGGAGAUUAAAGAGACAUGACAUCUAAAGGCAAUGCAUGAUUCUAAAUUUGUUCCUUUCAUGCUAUCCAGUUAAUGGCACAAUUGGCAACACUUGAAUCUGAUAUCGAUGGUCAUAACAAAUAAAUGUUAAUUUCUUUAUUUUGGUAAUUGGAUUGUGGUUAUGUAGGUAGGGGCAUGUCCUUUUUGUAGGAAAUAUGCAGCAUUUUGAGGGAUGUUGUGGGAUCUUUAAGGAAUUAGAGCGACUGAUGGGGUUCAGGAGGAUAUGAUAUUUAUUAAUUAUUUAACUGCACAGUCGGAUUAACAUCUAAAGGACUGAGCCCUGAACAAAGAGUUAAAUUACCUUUUAGGCAUUUCGUCGGGUGGGGGUAGGCGGGGGAGGGGGGAGAUCUAUGCAGGGGGAAGCAUACUACAGAAGCGAGAAACAAAGGCACUUAUGCAAGUGAGACAUGCAUUACAUCAUUUCUUACUUUUCAAGGAAAAACAUGUUUUGCGACUUGAGUUUAUCUGUCUAGUGACCUUGCAGCUGCACAGCUAGGGAAACCGGGUCUUCACAAUGCCUGGGAAAGGGAGAGAUAAAGCUCACUAGCCACAGAAAAACAGGCAGUUAAUUUUUUAAAGGACUCCAGCUCUUUCUGUUUCUCAGGGGGAAUUGGGUUUUCUCACAUACAAUUGAGUUUUUGCUUACACACUCUUUAAUUUCUUUUAAUUCCUGUUUCAGGGGUGAUGUAGCAUUAGGUCAACAAUUUACUUUCAAAUGGUUCAGUAACAAGAAAGUUCCUGGUGCUAUACUUGCAACUUUCUGUAAGUUUGUGAUUGGAUGGAUGGAUGGAUGGAUAGAUCGAAGAGUGAAGUAUGCAGCUAGCUUAAAAAUAUCUUCUGAAUUAUACUUUUAAUUUAGAAAUAAUGUUUAAAAAUCCAUAUUGAAGCUCCAUAGGAUUUCGUCAGUCAUGCUUGUACAUAUUGGUGCCUGCAAACAGUGUAGUUAUUCUUGGCUUUUUGAUAGACUUUAAGAUUAUUUCCCCACAAAGUUCCUCCAGAUGAUCUUAACUAACUGGAGAUUCCUAGUCUGCCUUUCCUAGAGCUGCUAAGCAAGUGGGGUUUUUGAUGGCUUAUUUUUUCACCCAUCCCCUACCUUGGCCAUCUCAGGAUUCUGCUGUCUCCCAGGAAGAAGAAAUGAUGAAGUCCUACGUGAGUUUUAAAUGAUGUAUUUAUUUUAUUAUCUUAUUCUAUAAGGCAGGAAAAGUAGAUAACAAUAAUCUCAACAAAAGAUGGAAAACCCUAAGUGGAUCAAAAUUAGGAAAACAUAAGUGAUUAAGGAGAAACUUUCAAUUAGAAAUAUACAGAAAUAAGUUCAUUAAGAAUUAAGCUUCAAAUUUGAAUCUGGCCUUCAUAGGAAAAACAAAUUAGGACAUAAAACUAAAAUUAACAAAAUUCAUUAUAUAGUUUGCACUGUCUUUCAUAAAAAAGCCUAUUAAUUUCUCAGAGGAAAAUAAAAGAUUUUCAUGGACACGAAGUAAAAUACUUUGGCAAAGUUUUAAACUUGUGGUCCACAGCCCUCUCCAUAUCUUCUUUACUCUGGUCUCAAAAAAUGAGAUGUUCCUCCUCUUAAAUAUAAUGUCUUUUCUGUUUUUCAUCCCAUCUUUCCUAUGACUUCUAGAACCCUUCCCCACUAGUUAAUACUUACACUUAAAUAUAUUACACAGUUCUUUCUUUACUGCCUCAUUCCUUUACUUACAUGAUUCUCCACAUCUGAGGAGAAAACAAACACACAACUAUUCUGUCCAUGUGUCCAGUUAGUUACUUCUAACAGUGUAGAGGUUAAAAGCAAAUAUUUUAGAGGUUAUAAGAUGUAGAUUUCAAUUCUCAUUCCACUACUUUCUGUGUGACAUGCGCAAAUUAUAGUUACUGAAAUUGUCAGUUCCUCAGUUUUAUGACCUAAAAGUGAGGCUAAACACAUAGAUGAAAGUUUUUUGAGAAUUAAAGAGUUGUUAAGUUGCUCAGAGCAAUGAUUGUCACCAUUAAACGUUGAAUUAACGUUUGCCUCAUUUCUUCCUCAGAAACUCAUGACCCAAGUCUUGGUGAUUUCCGUCUCAUCUUACGUGUAUUGUUUCUGUAAGAAAGUCCUCAAAAUAUGGGAUAUGUGGAUGCCUCAAUUUCUUAUUUCUAUCCCAAAUUAAGAUAUUUUCCCUUAUUUUUACAUUCCUUUGAAAAUUAAGUUUUUUUAAUUGGUUUUAUGAGAGGCAAAGUUAAAAUCUGCUCAUCAUGGCUCUUUUAUAAAAAGACAUCUUAAAUAUUUUCCUUGGCUUCAUCAUAUUGUUUUCUCAUGAUGCUAAUUAUAAUUAUCACUUAAAAACAAUUUUCCACUUAUGAAUUCUUUUCUUUGCUUGUUUCUUAACUGGUACUUGUCCCCAAAACCUGCUUGAUAUCCUGUUCCGCAUAGCAUCAGUGAAUUAUCACACCACACUGCAAUGGCUAUAAUGGUUUCAGUCAUCAUUGUACACUGAUAAAUAUCAAAUUACUCAUUUGCAAUACAAUCCCUACUUGAGCUCCUGAAGAGCAUAUAUAACAGUCUGAUGGAUAUCUUUACCCAGUUACUCUAUAGAAGACAUGAAUUUUACAUGUCCAAAAUUUUAUUCUUCUCUUACUUUUACCACCUUCUGGUAAAAGUGCAGGACACGUGCAAACAGGGAAAGGGGCAAAUCCAAAGUAGAGCCAGUGUGACCACACGUGGCACUGGUGUAUUCAAGAGCAGAUGCUGUGAAUGUGUGUCACAGAGGGCAUACGGGGCGAUGGCGAAACAAACAAUGGUGUCCAGGCAUGUUCCGGAGGAAGGGGGGCACAGGUGACCUUUCCAUCGAUGCCAACGAAAAUCAUAGAACACCUGGGAACCAGGAGGGGGCCUGUGCGUGAGUCCAAGCCACAAUUUGAAAUGCCUGCUGGAGGAGCAAAGAGGUUCCUGCAAAGUUCACCCCACCCUCAACCCUCCACCGCCCAGGUAGCCCUGACGCAACCUCCCCUGCACCCAGCCCCAGCCCAGUCCCGUUGGUUCCCUGACAUUCAUUACAGCCAAAAGAUUCAGGGAGGCAGUCCACCCCGGAGCGGAGGAGAGGAUGUCCCUCAAGAAUGAGACAGGAAGUGCAGAGAAAAUGCGACAGCGCCUGUCCUAGAAGACAAGGCCAGUCACGGUCGCCUACCGCUCAUUCUAGGCAAUCCCCCCCACACAUGAGGUGAAACGUGGAGACCAAGGUAGCUUCCCUGUCUGAGACACGUAUGGGAGCCAAGAGCUCCAGGAUCAUCAAACCUACCCAAUCAAGCAGAAACAGGUUUGGAGAGAGAAACAAUCAGAACAUGGAUCUCCAUGAAGUUUCUCCCUGAUGGACUGGGAAGUGAUCUUUGUUGAAGACAUUCAGCCAGACCAAGAAGCAUCUAGGCCCCUCAGAAACAGAAGAGACAGAGCAAGAGGGAGGCCAGAGCAGAGGCCAGAGCCCAGGCAGGAUACAGCACAGUGCCACCGCCACGGGCUGAGGGGAGGAGUGCCAAACGGGUGACUUGUCCAAAGAGGCCAGCAUUCCAGUGACAGGGAUCCUUGCCGUGUCCCCAUCCCAGCUUCUUCUUUAAGAUUGUAUCGUGGUGUGGCUUCGUUUCUCAGAGAAGAGACGCGAGGAGAUACAACCAUCUCCUUUGAGGUCGGUCUACUUCCCUCCUUUAGGACAAUGAGCUCCUGGGAGGCUUUUGUCCUUACCUGGAGUGUGGUCAUCUUGAUUCUAGAGAAUAGACCACUCAGGAUGGGGAUGAGACUUCAGUUGCUCUGGGACCGACGCAUCUCCUGAGGUGGUGGAGGCCUUCAAAAACCCGAAGUGCAACCGCCGCGAAAACGAGACAACCAGCCACGUGACCCAGGCAGACGCAGAAAAAGGCUCGCCAACGACAGGCGGACAUACAAGAAAUCCCUUUUUGGCGCAGGGGGCAUAUACGUCCCAACACACACACGCUCAUGGGCACACACACAUACAGACAGAGGGAGAGAGAGAAACAGGAAGUGAGAGACAGAGAAAAGAGAAUGGGACACAGACAGACACACAUACACAUACGCACACACACACAGAGAUAGAGUGAGAGAGAGAGAGAGAGAAAGAGACAGAGACAGAGCAGUGGCAUAGAAACAGAAAUGCCAGGCAACCCCUGAGGCUGCGGGGUUCUGCUCUCCGCAAGAACGACCCUCAGGUGAGAGGGCGGCCCACGAGCACACAGGCAGACCUGUCCUCGAGAUCACGGCGGGCACGACUUUUGCGGAGACUCACCCUAACACGUCCGGGCAGGCCUGAGCCUGGGAUGCCGCGCCGCUUCCCCCAGACUCCGCCUGUGGUUUCGUCAUCCUCGACAGCUCUGUGCGACUCGUGGCAUCCGGAGACGUUCCUGUCGACCCCGUGGAGAGGUCAGGCCGGAGCCUCGGAGCCCCGACAGCCAAGCACUGCCACGGAGGGCUCCUGCUUUGCCAAGCCUCAGGGACUGGUUUCUAAGACAACGGUGAGAAUCCGCUCGCGCCUCGCGCAUGCGCAUUGGCGGGGUUGACUCGCGCUCCGCUCCUAGAAGUCAGGCUGCGGCCCCUUGAAACAAUGGCGGCGGCGCGGCUGCGCUAAGGCAGGGAAGCUCCUGCUGCAGCCGCGGCGGCGGCUGGAUCCGGGGUCCAGUAGAGGGCGGCGUGGGAGAGGGGGCCGCGGGCGUCCCAGGGCCAAACCCCCAGGAGUCCUGUCUUCAGGGCCUCCUUGAGUCGACUUCCACCGGUGGAGGGGGAGCUUCAGGGCGCCUGCUGGGCUCUCAGGACUCCUCUUCAGAUCCGAUUUUGGAUCCCACUGGGUGAGCAGGGAUGGGCUCAGGCGGGAGGCAUGUGGUGAGGCAGGCAGGGCCUCGCUGCAGCACAGGAUGAUCUCUUGGGCCUCAAGGCGUGGUAUCAGCUGAAAAUUCGCUGACCCACGAGCCCUCUGCCUCCCUUCUCCCUUGGAGGAGCUGUGGGCUGCCCCGAUUCGCAAAGCCGUGGGGCUGCUGCAAGCCAACACCACUUUCCAGGAGACGUGGAAACAGGGAUAGGGCGAGUCCGAGGUAGAGCCAAUGAGACCACACGUGGCACUGGCUUCCCUAAGAGCAGAUUGGGUGAGUGUGCAUUACCGAGGCCAUAUGGGGUGAUUGCGAGACGAACAAUGGUGUCUGGGCAUGUGCCCGGUGGAUGCGGGGGGACACAGAUGACCUCCCAGUCAACGCCAAGGAAAAGCAUAGCGCCUCUGAGAACCAGGAAUGGGCCCGUGCCUGAAUCCAAGCCAGAUUUUGGGAUGCCUGCUCUAGGAGCGGAGAGGUUUCUGCAUAGUUCACCCCACCCUCACCCCUCCACAGCCUAGGUAGCCCUGAGGCAACCUCCCCUGCACCCAGCCCCAGCCCUUGCCCUUUGGAUCCCUGACAUUUGUGAGAGCUGAAAGAUUCAGUUCUGGGAGGCAGUCCAUCCAGAAGCAGAGGGGAGGAUGUCUCUCAAUAAUAAGACAGGAAGUGCAGAGGAAAUGCCGCACGGCCUUUCCUAGACGCCAAGGCCAGCCAUGAUCGCCUACCGCUCAUUCUAGGCAAUCCACCCAGCCAUGAGGUGAAACUUGGAGACCAAGGGAGCUUCCCUGUCUGAAACAGGUAUGGAAGCCCAGAGUUCCAGGAUAGUCAAACCGGCCGAAUCAACCAGAAACAGGUUUGGAGAGAGAAACAAUUAUGACACGGAUCUCCACGAAUUUUCUCCCUGAUGGACUGGGAAGUGUUCUUUGUUGAAGACAUUGAGCCAGACCAAGAAGCAUCUAGGCCCCUCAGAAACAGGAGAGACAGAGCAAGAGGGAGGACAGAGCAGAGGCCAGAUCCCAGGCAAGACACAGCACAGUGUCACCGACAGGGUUAAGGGAAGGAGUGUCAAAUGGGUGACUUGUCCAGAGAGGCCAGCAUUCCAGUGACAGCAGGUAUUGUUGUCAUCUCCGGUUCCUGGCUUCCUCUUUAAGACUGUAUCGUGGUGUGGCUUCAUUUCUCAGAGAAAAGCCGCGAGGAGAUACAACCAUCUCCUUUGACAUCGGUCUGCUCCCCUCCUGCAGGAGAAUGAGCUCCUAUGAGGCUUUGGUCCUUGGCUGAAGUGUGGUCAUCUUGAUUCUAGAAAAGCCGCUCAGGAUGGGGAUGAGAUUCCAGUUGCUCCGGGACCGACGCAUCUCCUCAUGUGGUCGAGGCCUUCACAAUCCCAAAGUGGAACCACCACGAAAACGAUUGACAACCGGCCACAUGACCCAGGCAGAGACCAAAAAAAAGGCUCACCAAAAACAGGUUGACAUGCAAGAAAUCGCUUUUUGGCGCACAGGGCACAUUGAUCCCAACACACACACCCACACUGGCACACACACACACAGAGAAAGAGAGAGAGAGAAACAGACAGAGAGUGAGAGACAGAGAGAUAAGAGAGAAUGGGAGACACACACACAGACAUACAGCAGUGGCACAGAAACACACAGCCCCAGGCAACCCCUGAGGCUUUGGGGUUCUGCUCUCCACGAGAUCGACACUGGGAUGAGACAGGAGCCUAUGGACACACAGGCAGACCUGUCCUCAAGAUCAUGGCCUGCACAAGUUUUGGGGAGGCUCACCCGAUCCCCGUCCGGGCAGGCCUGAGGCUUGGAUGCCGCACUGCUUCCCCUGGACUCUGCCUGUGGUUUUGUCACCCUGGUCAGUCCUUGGAGACUCCUGGCAUCCGGAGACCUUCCUGUCGCCCCCGUGGAGAGGUCAGGCCAGAGCCUCAAAGCCCCGACACCCAAGCACUGCCAUGGAGGGCUCCUGCUUUGCCAAGCCUCAGGGAGUGGUUACUCAGGCAACCGUGGGACUCACUGUGAUGGGAGAAUUGGCUGGCGCUUCGCGCAUGCGCAUUGGCUAGGCCGACUCGCGCUCCGCUGCUGGAAGUCAGGCUGAAGCCCCUUUAAGCAAUGGCGGCAGCGCAGAGGCAGGGGCCUUUGGCUGCAACCCUGGCGGUGGCUGGAUCCCCGGUCCGGUAGGCGGCGACGUGGGAGAGAGGGCUGUAGGCACCCCAGGGCCGCACUCCCGGAGUCCUGUCCUCAGGACCUCCUUGAGCCAACUCCUACCGGUGGAGGAGGAGCUUCAGGGCGCCUGCUCGGGUCUUUGGAUUCCUCCUCAGAUCUGAUUUUGAAUCCCACCAGGUGAGCAGGGAUGGGUUCACCUUAUCUGUUGAGGUGGGAAGGGCCUCACUGGGGCACAGAAAGAUCCCAUGGGCCUCAAGGCGUGGUGUCAGCUGAAAAUUCACUGACCCAUGAGCCCUCUGCCUCCCUCCUCCCUUGGAGGACCAGUGGCCUGUCCUGCUUCCCAAAGCCCUGGGGCUCCUGCGAGAAGACACCGCUUUCCAGGACAAGUGCAAACAGGGACAGGGGCGAGUCCAAGGUGGAGCCAAUGCAACCACACGUGUCACUGGCGUCCCCAAGAGAAGAUGGGGUGAGUGUGUGUCACCGAGCCCAUAUGGGGCUAUGCCAAGAUGAAGAAAGGUGUCCAGGCAUGUGCCUGGUGGAAGGGGGGCACAGGUGACCUCCCUGUCAACGCCACAUAAAAGCAUAGCCCACCUGGGAACCAGGAGAGAACCUGUGUGUGAGUCCAAGCCACAUUUUGGGAUGCCUGUCAGAGGAGCGAAGAGGUUUCUGCAAAGUUCACCCCAUCCCCACCCCUCCAACGCCUAGGUAGCCCUGACACAGCCUCCCCUGUACCCAGCCCCAGUCCCGUCCCUUCGGCUCCCUGCCACACAGAAAGAGAAAGAGAGAGAGAGAGAGAGACAGAGAGUGAGAGACAGAGAGAGAAGAGAGAAUGGGAGACACACUCACAGAUACACAGCAGUGGAACGGAAACACACCACCCCAGGCAACCCCUGAGGCUGCGGGGUUCUGCUUUUCAAAAGAACAACCAUCGGUUUAGAGAGUAGUCCACGGGCACACAGGCAGACGCUUCCUCGAGAUGAUGUGGGGCACGACUUUUGGGGAGACUCACCCAAACACCAUCCGGGCAGGCCUCGGGCUGGAAUUCCGCGCUGCUUUUCCCAGACUCCGCCUGCUGUUUCUUCAUCCUGUUUGCCCCUCCGUGUCUCCUGGAAUCCUGAAACAGUUUUGUUGACCUUCUGGAGAUGUCAGCCUGGCGCCUCAACACUGACGCACUGCCACGGACGGCUCCUGCUUUGUCAAGGUUGAUGGAGUCGUCCUCAGGCAACCAUUGGGGUCACUGUGACAGGAGUAGCGGUGUCGCCUCAUGCAUCCGCAUUGCCUAAGCCGACUCGUGCUUUGCCCUUGGAAGUCAGGCUGUAGCCCCUUUAAACGGUUUCGGCUCUGCGUGGACGGGGGCUCCUGUGGCAGUCGCUGUGGUGGCUGGAGUGUUGAUGGAGUAGCGGGCGUUGUUGGAGAGGGGACUUCGGGGCCGGACCCCCAGGACCCCUGUCCUCAGGGCCUUUUUGAGCCGACUUUUACCGGUGGAGGAGGAGCUUCAGGUCGCCGGCUGGGGUUUCAGGACUCUCAGGCUGCAGUGCAUUGGUGUGAUCAUAACUCACUGCAGCCUCAAUCUCCCAGGAUUAAGCGAUUUUUUUGCCUCAGCCUCCCACAUAGCUGGGACUACAGGCAUGUGCCACCUCACUGAACUACUUUUCUUCAGAAACAUUUUUGUAUGAAUGGGGACUUACUAUGUUGCCUCGCUCAUCUCCAACUCCUGGACUCAAGCCAUCCUCCUGCCUUGGCCUCCCCAAGUGCUAAGAUUACAGAUGUAAGCUUCCACAUGCAGCUGAAUUCUUGUAUCUUAAAUCCCUACCUCCCAAAAUAAGCAGAUAUUAGUCCCACUUAUUUUAUAACUUUUUGCUCUUUAUGUCUCUUUUUGUUCCUGGACACAGGGAGUAGCAACCCACUCUCCACUAAAUUUCAAAUCAUUAGGGGCAUUAUGCUAUGUCCCAGGAGUGGCUGAGGCUUCAAGGACCUGCUGCUCUAACUUAGGCUUGCUGAGGAGUACAAUUCAUCUUGUGUUUCUGUGUUGUAUAACAAUCUUCCUGAGCUCCUCUAAGUCAGUCCAUCCUGCUACAACUGAGAAGAAUCAAGAAACUCUCCAAGAAAAUGUUUAUCAACCUGCCUGUUGUCAAGGACAAGACAGGUCUGUUGACCAUGGCAGGCAUGGCAGCGCAUGACAGUGAGCACCCUCCACCGUGUUUGCUAUUCACUGCAUGUUCCACCUGAAAUUUCCCAUCUGCUCAGUGAGUCUUAACAGUGUGGUAAAAAGGACUCACUCUCAAAGACCAAGGCUGACGCUCUCUGAAUACAAUGCCUUGACCUAGUUACUGUCACUGUGGUUUUGUCUUCAUAGACUAAAAGAUACAAUAAAAAUUUGUUCGGUGGAGCCAAGAUGGCUGAAUAGGAACAGCUCCAGUCUAGAGCUCCCAGCAUGAGUGAUGCAGAAGACGGGUGAUUUCUGCAUUUCCAACUGAGAUACCAGGCUCAUCUCACUGGGGAAUGUCAGAAAGUGGGUGCAGGACAGUAGGUGCAGCACACCCAGCAUGAGCUGAAGCAGGGCAAGGCAUCACCUCACCCAGGAAGCGCAAGGGGUCAGGGAAUUCCCUUUCCUAGUCAAAGAAAAGGGUGACAGACGGCACCUGGAAAAUCAGAUCACUCCACCCUAAUACUGAGCUUUUCCAACGGCCUUAGCAAAUGGCACACCAGGAGAUUAUAUCCCAUGCCUGGCUCAGAGGGUCCUAUGCCCAUGGAGCCUUGCUCAUUGCUAGCACGGCAGUCUGAGAUCAAACUGCAAGGGGGCGGCGAGGCUGGGGGAGGGGCGCCAGCCAUUGC
rnacentral:lncRNA from 1 species